CCCUUAGAUGUUCGGGGCCGCACGCGCGCUACACUGAAGGAAUCAGCACGUCUUUCUCCUUGUCCGAAAGGACUGGGUAACCCGCUGAACCUCCUUCGUGCUAGGGAUUGGGGCUUGUAAUUCUUCCCCAUGAACGAGGAAUUCCCAGUAAGCGCGAGUCAUAAGCUCGCGUUGAUUACGUCCCUGCCCUUUGUACACACCGCCCGUCGCUACUACCGAUUGGAUGGUUUAGUGAGAUCCUCGGAUUGGCCCCGGAGCGGCCUCUGGUCGUGCCGGAGUGCCGAAAAGAAUGUCGAACUUGAUCAUCUAGAGGAAGUAAAAGUCGUAACA
rnacentral:rRNA from 1 species